GUGCCAGCAGCCGCGGUAAUACCUGCAGCCCAAGUGGUGCUCGUUAUUAUUGGGUCUAAAACGUCCGUAGUCGGCUGAGUAGAUGCCCGGGUAAAUCGAAGCGCUUAACGUUUCGAAUUCCGGGUAGACCGCUCGGCUAGGGAGUGGGAGAGGUGCGAGGUACUCUGAGGGUAGGGGUAAAAUCCUGUAAUCCUUGGGGGACCACCAGUGGCGAAGGCGUCGCACUAGAACACGUCCGACGAUCAGGGACGAAGCCCUGGGGCGCAAACGGGAUUAGAAACCCCCGUAGUCC
rnacentral:rRNA from 1 species